CACCCACCCGACUCCUCAGACAAGUGAAGUGGUGGCCCAGCUUCAAACAGAAAAAAAAAGUCCUUGACUUCUUUUGUGGCAGAGCAGAUGACUCAAGGUGGAGCUACCCUCCUUGAGCACCCUCAGCCUGAAACCUAGGGAGGAUGCCCUGGACACCCCUGCU
rnacentral:lncRNA from 1 species